rnacentral:rRNA from 1 species
GGUUAAGCGACUAAGCGUACACGGUGGAUGCCCUGGCAGUCAGAGGCGAUGAAGGGCGUGCUAAUCUGCGAUAAGCGCCGGUAAGGUGAUAUGAACCGUUAUAACCGGCGAUACCCGAAUGGGGAAACCCAGUGUGACUCGUCACACUAUCAUUAACUGAAUCCAUAGGUUAAUGAGGCGAACCGGGGGAACUGAAACAUCUAAGUACCCCGAGGAAAAGAAAUCAACCGAGAUUCCCCCAGUAGCGGCGAGCGAACGGGGAGGAGCCCAGAGCCUGAAUCAGCAUGUGUGUUAGUGGAAGCGUCUGGAAAGGCGCGCGAUACAGGGUGACAGCCCCGUACACAAAAGCGCAUGUGCUGUGAGCUCGAUGAGUAGGGCGGGACACGUGGUAUCCUGUCUGAAUAUGGGGGGACCAUCCUCCAAGGCUAAAUACUCCUGACUGACCGAUAGUGAACCAGUACCGUGAGGGAAAGGCGAAAAGAACCCCGGCGAGGGGAGUGAAAAAGAACCUGAAACCGUGUACGUACAAGCAGUGGGAGCACAGGUUUACCUGUGUGACUGCGUACCUUUUGUAUAAUGGGUCAGCGACUUAUAUUCUGUAGCAAGGUUAACCGUAUAGGGGAGCCGGAGGGAAACCGAGUCUUAACCGGGCGUUAAGUUGCAGGGUAUAGACCCGAAACCCGGUGAUCUAGCCAUGGGCAGGUUGAAGGUUGGGUAACACUAACUGGAGGACCGAACCGACUAAUGUUGAAAAAUUAGCGGAUGACCUGUGGCUGGGGGUGAAAGGCCAAUCAAACCGGGAGAUAGCUGGUUCUCCCCGAAAGCUAUUUAGGUAGCGCCUCGUGAAUUCAUCUCCGGGGGUAGAGCACUGUUUCGGCUAGGGGGCCAUCCCGGCUUACCAACCCGAUGCAAACUGCGAAUACCGGAGAAUGUUAUCACGGGAGACACACGGCGGGUGCUAACGUCCGUCGUGAAGAGGGAAACAACCCAGACCGCCAGCUAAGGUCCCAAAGUCAUGGUUAAGUGGGAAACGAUGUGGGAAGGCCCAGACAGCCAGGAUGUUGGCUUAGAAGCAGCCAUCAUUUAAAGAAAGCGUAAUAGCUCACUGGUCGAGUCGGCCUGCGCGGAAGAUGUAACGGGGCUAAACCAUGCACCGAAGCUGCGGCAGCGACACUGUGUGUUGUUGGGUAGGGGAGCGUUCUGUAAGCCUGUGAAGGUGGCCUGUGAGGGUUGCUGGAGGUAUCAGAAGUGCGAAUGCUGACAUAAGUAACGAUAAAGCGGGUGAAAAGCCCGCUCGCCGGAAGACCAAGGGUUCCUGUCCAACGUUAAUCGGGGCAGGGUGAGUCGACCCCUAAGGCGAGGCCGAAAGGCGUAGUCGAUGGGAAACGGGUUAAUAUUCCCGUACUUGGUGUUACUGCGAAGGGGGGACGGAGAAGGCUAUGUUGGCCGGGCGACGGUUGUCCCGGUUUAAGCGUGUAGGUGUGUGUUCCAGGUAAAUCCGGUUCACUUUAACACUGAGGCGUGACGACGAGGCACUACGGUGCUGAAGCAACAAAUGCCCUGCUUCCAGGAAAAGCCUCUAAGCAUCAGGUAACAUCAAAUCGUACCCCAAACCGACACAGGUGGUCAGGUAGAGAAUACCAAGGCGCUUGAGAGAACUCGGGUGAAGGAACUAGGCAAAAUGGUGCCGUAACUUCGGGAGAAGGCACGCUGACACGUAGGUGAAGUGAUUUACUCAUGGAGCUGAAGUCAGUCGAAGAUACCAGCUGGCUGCAACUGUUUAUUAAAAACACAGCACUGUGCAAACACGAAAGUGGACGUAUACGGUGUGACGCCUGCCCGGUGCCGGAAGGUUAAUUGAUGGGGUCAGCGCAAGCGAAGCUCCUGAUCGAAGCCCCGGUAAACGGCGGCCGUAACUAUAACGGUCCUAAGGUAGCGAAAUUCCUUGUCGGGUAAGUUCCGACCUGCACGAAUGGCGUAAUGAUGGCCAGGCUGUCUCCACCCGAGACUCAGUGAAAUUGAACUCGCUGUGAAGAUGCAGUGUACCCGCGGCAAGACGGAAAGACCCCGUGAACCUUUACUAUAGCUUGACACUGAACAUUGAGCCUUGAUGUGUAGGAUAGGUGGGAGGCUUUGAAGUGUGGACGCCAGUCUGCAUGGAGCCGACCUUGAAAUACCACCCUUUAAUGUUUGAUGUUCUAACGUGGACCCGUUACCCGGGUUGCGGACAGUGUCUGGUGGGUAGUUUGACUGGGGCGGUCUCCUCCUAAAGAGUAACGGAGGAGCACGAAGGUUGGCUAAUCCUGGUCGGACAUCAGGAGGUUAGUGCAAUGGCAUAAGCCAGCUUGACUGCGAGCGUGACGGCGCGAGCAGGUGCGAAAGCAGGUCAUAGUGAUCCGGUGGUUCUGAAUGGAAGGGCCAUCGCUCAACGGAUAAAAGGUACUCCGGGGAUAACAGGCUGAUACCGCCCAAGAGUUCAUAUCGACGGCGGUGUUUGGCACCUCGAUGUCGGCUCAUCACAUCCUGGGGCUGAAGUAGGUCCCAAGGGUAUGGCUGUUCGCCAUUUAAAGUGGUACGCGAGCUGGGUUUAGAACGUCGUGAGACAGUUCGGUCCCUAUCUGCCGUGGGCGCUGGAGAACUGAGGGGGGCUGCUCCUAGUACGAGAGGACCGGAGUGGACGCAUCACUGGUGUUCGGGUUGUCAUGCCAAUGGCACUGCCCGGUAGCUAAAUGCGGAAGAGAUAAGUGCUGAAAGCAUCUAAGCACGAAACUUGCCCCGAGAUGAGUUCUCCCUGAGACUUAGAGUCUCCUGAAGGAACGUUGAAGACGACGACGUUGAUAGGCCGGGUGUGUAAGCGCAGCGAUGCGUUGAGCUAACCGGUACUAAUGAACCGUGAGGCUUAACCUU